rnacentral:rRNA from 1 species
GAUGAACGCUAGCGGGAGGCCUAAUACAUGCAAGUCGAACGGUAACAGGGUAGCAAUACCGCUGACGAGUGGCGCACGGGUGAGUAACACGUACACAAUCUGCCUUAUACUGGAGCAUACCCCCAAGAAAUUGGGACUAAUUCUCCAUAACAUAUUGAAAAGGCAUCUUUUUAAUAUUAAAACUCAGGUGGUAUAAGAUGAGUGUGCGUCUGAUUAGCUAGUUGGUGAGGUAACGGCUCACCAAGGCAACGAUCAGUAACUGGUCUGAGAGGAUGAUCAGUCACACGGACACUGAGACACGGGUCCGACUCCUACGGGAGGCAGCAGUAGGGAAUAUUGGACAAUGGGCGCAAGCCUGAUCCAGCCAUCCCGCGUGAAGGAUUAAGGCCCUCUGGGUUGUAAACUUCUUUUUUUUGGGAAUAAAAACCGGAAUUCAUUUCGGCUUGAAGGUACCAGAAGAAUAAGCACCGGCUAACUCCGUGCCAGCCGCCGCCUAAAAC